CCCUAGGACAGUGGUUCCGAAAAUGGCGC
rnacentral:sRNA from 1 species